AAUGGGUCAGCGACUUAUAUUCUGUAGCAAGGUUAACCGAAUAGGGGAGCCGAAGGGAAACCGAGUCUUAACUGGGCGUUAAGUUGCAGGGUAUAGACCCGAAACCCGGUGAUCUAGCCAUGGGCAGGUUGAAGGUUGGGUAACACUAACUGGAGGACCGAACCGACUAAUGUUGAAAAAUUAGCGGAUGACUUGUGGCUGGGGGUGAAAGGCCAAUCAAACCGGGAGAUAGCUGGUUCUCCCCGAAAGCUAUUUAGGUAGCGCCUCGUGAAUUCAUCUCCGGGGGUAGAGCACUGUUUCGGCAAGGGGGUCAUCCCGACUUACCAACCCGAUGCAAACUGCGAAUACCGGAGAAUGUUAUCACGGGAGACACACGGCGGGUGCUAACGUCCGUCGUGAAGAGGGAAACAACCCAGACCGCCAGCUAAGGUCCCAAAGUCAUGGUUAAGUGGGAAACGAUGUGGGAAGGCCCAGACAGCC
rnacentral:rRNA from 1 species